rnacentral:lncRNA from 10 species
GCCGAGGUCGGGCCAUUGUACUCCAGCCUGGGCAACAAGAGCGAAACCCUGUCUCAAAAACAAUAAUAAUAAUAAUAAUAAUAAUAAUAAUAAUAUCAAUAGUAAUUGUGCCAAGCGUGGUGGCUCACACCCGUAAUCCCAGGACUUGAGGAGGCAGAGGCAGGAGGAUUGCCUGAGUCCAGGAGUUCAAGACCAAUCCUGGCAACAUAGCAAGACCCAUCUCUGAAAAAAAUUUAAAAAUUAGCUGGAUAUGGUGGUGUGCCCCUGUAGUUCCAGGUACUUGGGAAGCUAAGGUGGAAGGAUCACUUGAUCUCAGGAGGAAUACCUGAGCCAUGGUUGUGCCACUGCACUCCUAGGUGACAGAGCAAGACCUGUCUCAAAAAAAAAAAAAAAAAUUGUAACACGACUUUUGCAGCUAUACAAAAUAUUUAAAAUCUCAAGUAUUCACCCUAGAUAGAGUUAUUAUCUAAGCAUUUUAUCUUAUCCAUCUUAAUAAUUGCAAAUAUGAAAUCUAGAUCUUUAUUCCUAUGUUACUUUUGGGAAAUCUGUUAACAUUUUUGAGCCUUACUUUUCCUGUUUGUGACAUGAAGGGUGUGGGGAUGACAGAGAUGGCAUUGUUAGAUGGGUUAAAUAAAACAAUGUAUAUAAAGUGGCCAAUAAAGAGCUUGGCACACAAUGGGAUGCCAAACAGAUGUUAAAAUAUGUACUCAUAGAUUUUAGAAUUAGAUGUUUAACAGAUGCUAUUAUUAAAAUUCUUCAUUUUCCAAAGGCUGUGCCUUUUGUAUUCUUGUGUAAUUACCCCUUGGAAAGCCUUGAGUAAAGAUACCAGAUGUAGUGUAAUUUCAUUAAUGAAGGAGAGUAAAAUAGCAUAGAUUAUAACAAGAGGACAAAACUGAAGAGCUCAUUCCAGAAACUACCUGGAAUAGUGAAUAGAGGAUGGCAGAGCCAAGCAACCUGGGGUUUUUAAUUCUGUCAUUUACUGGCUAUUGUGACAUUGAGCAAGUGGCUUAAUGUUCCCAUCUUAUUUAUAAAAUGAGCUUAAUAAUCCCUCUUCUGUUUUGUUUUUGAUGAUUUGAGAUAGCAUUUGUAAAGCUUAGUACAGUAUCUGGCACUUAGUAGGCAUUCAAUACAAAAAAAGCUAUUUUUAAAAUAGUGUUAAUUACAUCUAAAAUAAAGACAACACAGACUUCAAA